GGGUGAUGAGCAAGGUGCGCUCGUUAAUUGGGGUUUUGGGAAAACCAUUAGUAUAGUUGUGACAGACCAAGCUGUAAGGUUGCGUUCAGCAUGUUGCGUCUGAUGAGGGCUGAAGUGAAGUAAGCCGAAACGCGUAACGCAAAAUAUGCUGUUUUUGUCUGUUGUCACCGAGAAAAGCCAAUAUAUAAUAUUAAAUA
rnacentral:lncRNA from 1 species